AGAGCGAACGCUGGCGGCAGGCCUAAUACAUGCAAGUCGAACGCACCUUCGGGUGAGUGGCGGACGGGUGAGUAACACGUGGGAACGUGCCUUUUGGUUCGGAAUAAUCCGGGGAAACCUGGCCUAAUACCGGAUGUGCCCUUCGGGGGAAAGAUUUAUCGCCAUUAGAGCGGCCCGCGUCUGAUUAGCUUGUUGGUGGGGUAAUGGCCCACCAAGGCUACGAUCAGUAGCUGGUCUGAGAGGAUGAUCAGCCACACUGGGACUGAGACACGGCCCAGACUCCUACGGGAGGCAGCAGUAGGGAAUCUUGCGCAAUGGGCGAAAGCCUGACGCAGCCAUGCCGCGUGAAUGAUGAAGGUCUUAGGAUUGUAAAAUUCUUUCAGCGGGGAAGAUAAUGACUGUACCCGCAGAGAAGCUCCGGCUAACUUCGUGCCAGCAGCCGC
rnacentral:rRNA from 1 species